CGGGCGGACACCGGGCGGCGGCGCCGGGGGGUCCGCUGCCGGUGGACCGCAGGCCGGUUCCGUUCACGGCCGCACCGGUUCCGGUGCAGUACGUCCGGCC
rnacentral:tRNA from 1 species